ensembl:lncRNA
AUUAACGUUAAGUCACUUUGUUGCACCAAUUUUCCCAAGAGCACUAACCGCGAGCCGCCAAGAAUGUAGACAACAGCAAUAGGAAACGGCAAUAGAGCCCUUCUUUAUACUUUUGUAACACGCACUACCUUGGUACUUUGAGUGAUACGAAUACUUAUUUUUGUUUUUGAAGGUGUUAUCAUUUUUAUUGUUGUGUAAGACAGGAAAGUAUGGGAGAUAGAGGGGAAGAGACGCAGUAAAGGACCACUGGCAGGAAUCGAACCCCGGUCAUUGUGUGUCCUACCUGGUGUACUACCCUCUUCUUUUGGAAGACGGAGCAGAUGAAGAGGACAGGGAGACUGGCCAGCACAGGACUCAGAAUAAAACAAUGCCAAAAUGCUGGCUAUGCAUUAUUCACAGCGACAUUAAAACACACUGGGGCCACCAUGACCAGGACCCCGACACAUAGGCCCCUGUCUGGCUGGUCAGUGGCAAUCUGAGGCCAGAAGAAGACUGCU